GGGGUUGUAGCUUAGUGGGUAGAGCAUUGGUCUAGCAAACCAGAGACCCAGGGCUGUGAUUCCUAGCACCACCU
rnacentral:tRNA from 1 species